rnacentral:rRNA from 1 species
CCUACGGGGGGCAGCAGUGAGGAAUAUUGGUCAAUGGGAGAGAUCCUGAACCAGCCAAGCCGCGUGAGGGAAGACGGCCCUAUGGGUUGUAAACCUCUUUUGUCGGAGAACAAAACCCGGGACGUGUCCCGGACUGCGUGUAUCCGAAGAAAAAGCAUCGGCUAACUCCGUGCCAGCAGCCGCGGUAAUACGGAGGAUGCGAGCGUUAUCCGGAUUUAUUGGGUUUAAAGGGUGCGUAGGCGGGAUGCCAAGUCAGCGGUAAAAAUGCGGUGCUCAACGCCGUCGAGCCGUUGAAACUGGCGUUU